UGGGGAAUUUUGGACAAUGGGCGAAAGCCUGAUCCAGCAAUGCCGCGUGUGUGAAGAAGGCCUUCGGGUUGUAAAGCACUUUUGUCCGGAAAGAAAUCCUUGGCUCUAAUACAGUCGGGGGAUGACGGUACCGGAAGAAUAGGCACCGGAUAACUACGUGCCAGCAGCCGCGGUAAUACGUAGGGUGCAAGUGUUAAUCGGAAUUACUGGGCGUAAAGAGUGCGCAGGCGGUUUGCUAAGACCGAUGUGAAAUCCCCGGGCUCAACCUGGGAACUGCAUUGGUGACUGGCAGGCUAGAGUAUGGCAGAGGGGGGUAGAAUUCCACGUGUAGCAGUGAAAUGCGUAGAGAUGUGGAGGAAUACCGAUGGCGAAGGCAGCCCCCUGGGCCAAUACUGACGCUCAUGCACGAAAAGUGUGGGGGAGCAAAACAGGAUUAGAUACCCUGGUAGUCCACGCCCUAAAACGAUGUCAACUAGUUGUUGGGGAUUCAUUUUCCUUAGUAACGUAGCUAACGCGUGAAGUUGACCGCCUGGGGGAGUACGGUCGCAAGAUUAAAAACUCAAAGGAAUUGACGGGGUCAUAGCUGUUUCCU
rnacentral:rRNA from 1 species